CCGGCGGGAUCACGCCCUGGCGCCGUCGCGUCGCUCCCUGGUCGCCCACGUGCCGCCGAGCCGGCUAGUCAGACAGGGAGGCCUGGAGGUAGCCCGCGGUGAGGCGCCGUUUGCUGAGCUUCUCAGCUCCCUUUUGGAGAGCGGGACGGAAGAGAAAGCUUCGUCGCUCUGCCGUUACCCCCGGAGAGGCCUAGACGACCUGGAAGACCCCCGUCUUCCCUGAGACUGUUUUACAACCGGAAGUGAAGGAGCAGCCUCCGUCGCCAGGUUCGCUUCCCGACUCCGCUGACAGUGGGAACUUGAGCGCCGCGUUGUGUCCGUGAAAUGGAAAAGGAGGCCACGUUUUCACGAGACGCGAGCGUAGCGUGUACUUUUUCAAGCCUACAAGAGAUUUGCUUGGACCUGUCACUGGAAGUCACUUUUAUCCUGAUUGGGAGAAUCGAUCAAGAUGAUUUUCUAGAGUAGCCUGUUGUGAAGUGAAGAGCCUAAUAGGAAAAGGUCUUAAUAGCAUUUUGUCCUCAUAAAAAUGGAAAACUUCACCAGAUUCAAUCUGUUGCAGCUCUUAAAAAAAAAAAGUACUUACGUAAUCGUAUUUCC